GAUGAACGCUAGCGGCAGGCCUAAUACAUGCAAGUCGAACGAGAUUACGAGGCUUGCUUCUUAUGAAAGUGGCGCACGGGUGCGUAACGCGUAUGCAACCUACCUUAAUCAGGGGGAUAGCCCGAAGAAAUUCGGAUUAAGACCGCAUAAAAACACAGGAUAGCAUUAUCCAAUGUUCAAAUAUUUAUAGGAUUAAGAUGGGCAUGCGUGUCAUUAGCUAGUUGGCGGGGUAACGGCCCACCAAGGCGACGAUGACUAGGGGAUCUGAGAGGAUGACCCCCCGCACUGGUACUGAGACACGGACCAGACUCCUACGGGAGGCAGCAGUAAGGAAUAUUGGUCAAUGGAGGGAACUCUGAACCAGCCAUGCCGCGUGCAGGAAGACAGCCCUCUGGGUCGUAAACUGCUUUUAUUCGGGAAUAAACCUUUCUACGUGCAGGAAGCUGAAUGUACCGAAGGAAUAAGGAUCGGCUAACUCCGUG
rnacentral:rRNA from 1 species